rnacentral:rRNA from 1 species
AACGAACGCUGGCGGCAGGCUUAACACAUGCAAGUCGAACGCCCCGCAAGGGGAGUGGCAGACGGGUGAGUAACGCGUGGGAACAUACCCUUUUCUACGGAAUAGCUCUGGGAAACUGGAAUUAAUACCGUAUACGCCCUACGGGGGAAAGAUUUAUCGGGGAAGGAUUGGCCCGCGUUGGAUUAGCUAGUUGGUGGGGUAAAGGCCUACCAAGGCGACGAUCCAUAGCUGGUCUGAGAGGAUGAUCAGCCACAUUGGGACUGAGACACGGCCCAAACUCCUACGGGAGGCAGCAGUGGGGAAUAUUGGACAAUGGGCGCAAGCCUGAUCCAGCCAUGCCGCGUGAGUGAUGAAGGCCUUAGGGUUGUAAAGCUCUUUCACCGAUGAAGAUAAUGACGGUAGUCGGAGAAGAAGCCCCGGCCAACUUCGUG